UGUGCUGUGGCUGUGCCAUGCUGUGCCAGUCUGUGCCAUGCUGUGCCAUGCUGGAUGUGUCUCUCCUACAGGAGAAGGUUCUGGAGCUGGCCAGGCCCCAGCUGGCCCUGGUUCCCCUUGGCUACAGCGUGUCCCUGCUGCUGUGGGACCCCCGUGGCCCUGGGACACAGCUGCCCUUCCAGAGUGUCAUCUGGCAGGUGAUCGACACCGUCUUCCAGGAGCUGGAGGCCUUGGGGGACGACACUCAGAGCCUGCAGAUGGUCAGCCUGGUGCAGGUAGGGCAGGAGCACGGCAGGAGGGCCUGGCAUGAGGGCCCCAUUCUCUCUGUGCCACUGCCCAGCCCCUGCUGUGCCAUGAGCACAGCUUGCCCUGUGCUGGCAUGCAGUGCCCUCAUCCAGAGGGUGACCAGGGACUGGGGACCUUUGGCUCCCAGGUGUUCUCACCUCUUUCCAGGACUGCCCACAGAGCACCUCCUGGGCUCCAGCAGCAUGGUGGCACCAGGAUCACCCUCUAACCCCUUCCUGCUCCCAUCCCAACUGAGCUCCCCGGGCCAGUCACUGCUCCAGUGUGGCCUUGAGUGGCACAGCAGUGCUGCCAGCUCCUGGCCCUGGGCUGGCUCCUGCCCUUUGGCUCUGGGAUGCUGCCAGGGCCUGAUAAGCUCCACAGAGGGCUCGAGCGUUCCCAGGGCUCUGCCCUUCCCUGGUGCCAGGGCUGGGCAAGCUGGGAGUUACCCCAAAAUGAGCUUUCUCAACCCUCACGUGUGCAUGGCCACAAGCACUCCGGGCCCCUGGUGAGUGUGGGGUGCCAGCAGCCCCUUUUCCUGCCCCUGCCUGAUGCAGCCCCCUCAUUCCAGGUCAGCAGCCAGGACAAAGCCUGGGACCUGCUCCAUCCUGACGGCCGAGCCCUGC
rnacentral:lncRNA from 1 species